rnacentral:rRNA from 1 species
AGAGUUUGAUCCUGGCUCAGGACGAACGUUGGCGGCGUGCUUAACACAUGCAAGUCGAGCGGGGCUUAGUAGAAAGUUUACUUUUUAUUUUGUCUAGCGGCGGACGGGUGAGUAACGCGUGGAUAAUCUGCCUGUAAGACAGGGAUAACGCCGGGAAACCGGUGCUAAUACCCGAUAGGUUGAGCAGAAGAGAAAAGGUGGCCUCUUUACAAUGCUACCACUUAUAGAUGAGUCUGCGGACCAUUAGCUAGUUGGUAGGGUAAAGGCCUACCAAAGCUACGAUCGUUAGCGGGUCUGAGAGGAUGACCCGCCACACUGGAACUGAAAUACGGACCAGACUCCUACGGGAGGCAGCAGUGGGGAAUCUUCGACAAUGGGGGCAACCCUGAUCGAGCAAUGCCGCGUGGAGGAUGAAGGCUUUCGGGUCGUACGAUCUUCCAUAAAUAAUGGCGAUAAAUGACGGUACAAUAAGAGGAAGCCACGGCUAACUACGUGCCAGCAGCCGCGGUAAUACGUAGGUGGCAAACGUUGUCCGGAAUUACUGGGCGUAAAGGGCGAGUAGGUGGUUUAUUAAGUCAGAAGUGAAAACUCCGGGCUCAACUUGGAGACUGCUUCUGAAACUGGUAAACUUGAGUGCAGGAGAGGGAAGUGGAAUUCCUAGUGUAGCGGUGAAAUGCGUAGAUAUUAGGAGGAACACCAGUGGCGAAGGCGACUUCCUGGCUUGUAACUGACACUGAGGCGCGAAAGCGUGGGGAUCAAACAGGAUUAGAUACCCUGGUAGUCCACGCCGUAAACGAUGAGUGCUAGGUGUCGGGGGUAUCGACCCCCUCGGUGCCACAGCUAACGCAAUAAGCACUCCGCCUGGGGAGUACGGUCGCAAGACUGAAACUCAAAGGAAUUGACGGGGGCCCGCACAAGCGGUGGAGUAUGUGGUUUAAUUCGACGCAACGCGAAGAACCUUACCAAGGCUUGACAUCCUGUGACAGCUAUAGAAAUAUAGUCUUCUUAGUUUACUAAGACACAGAGACAGGUGGUGCAUGGUUGUCGUCAGCUCGUGUCGUGAGAUGUUGGGUUAAGUCCCGCAACGAGCGCAACCCCUACAGCUAGUUGCCAGCACGUAAUGGUGGGAACUCUAGCAGAACUGCCGUUGACAAAACGGAGGAAGGUGGGGAUGACGUCAAAUCAUCAUGCCCCUUAUGUCCAGGGCCACACACGUGCUACAAUGGCCUGAACAGAGGGUUGCAAAGCCGCGAGGCAGAGCUAAUCUCUUAAAACCGGGCCAAGUUCAGAUCGGAGGCUGCAAUUCGGCUUCCGUGAAGCCGGAAUCGCUAGUAAACGCAGAUCAUCAUGCUGCGUUGAAUACGUUCUCGGGCCUUGUACACACCGCCCGUCACACCAUGGGAGCCAGUAACACCCGAAGCCGGUGAGCUAACUUAACGGAGGCAGCUGUCGAAGGUGGGAUUGGUGACUGGGGUGAAGUCGUAACAAGGUAACC